rnacentral:lncRNA from 1 species
UUUUUUUUUUUAAUUGUUUAUUUCCCAAAUCUUUUUUUUUUGUCAUUUGAAUAUCUGAAGAUUUAGAAUCUUGAUUGGAACCGUGCAUCUGGGUAACCAACUCUCUGCACAACUGAGAUUAUGAAAGUAUAAAGAAAGUUCCUUUCUAAAUGGAUGACAAAGCGAAGGAAAUAGCAUGAGAAACCAUGCAGAGAAGGAUGAAGUUGAUCUUUGCCGGCUGAAGUGAAUGUUUCUAGAAAUACUCUUUAAAUGAUGUAAUACUUUAGGGUGUAGGGCAAGACAGUGAAUUCACUUGAUGUCGUUAAGGUGUGUAUGGCUGUGCUGAUACAAGAAAAGUUAGAUACUCAUCCCCAACCGCCAGUUGGUAGAAAAGGUGAGAAGUACUUUUAAGUAGGGCCUCAUAAUGUAGUAAGGGCUUAACAGUUUCAAGCUGUAUCAAACCUUUUUGACAUCCUAUUUUGGAUUUUAAAUGACUAAGGCUUUGAACAAAUCAUUAAAACAAGACUUUAAAAAGGGACCAGAAAACUGGCUUAGAGUCCUUUAGGAUUCUGUUUGAAAAUUUAGUAAGGUAGUAUGUACUUCUUAAAUUUCAUAAGCCAAAUCCAGAAGUUGCUCUAAAAUGACUGCCCUUGAACAUACUAAAAGUGGCACAGGGAAUUAGGGAGUAUAAACCUUAGCUGCUUUUUCCGUGGAGUCUGAUGUAUUCCUUGGGGGAAAUGAGAUAGUUUCCAUUUUGCCUAGGGAUAUGAUUUUUACUUUCUCAAUUGUAAGGGAGGUUGUAGUUAGAAAAACAUGGUAGGGUUUUUUUAAAUUUUUACUGAAAAUAAUUCUUAAUAUCUUACUGUAAAUCAGGCAGCAGUUGUUCAAAUAGUACAUAAUAGGGUCAAAUCAAAACUUUACAAAAACCAAAUAAUAGAAUCUCCUUAAGUUGUUCAGCCCUUCGACUUGAAAUGCUCCUGUCUCAGCCUUCCUGCUAGGUGGAAUUACAGGUGAUAUCAUGAUCUAUUAAUACAGCGCUUUCAAGUAACUAUUUUACCCAUCUCAGAUUUUAUUCUAAAUUGGGAGAAGUUAGUCUUUGAAUUUCAAUUUUAUAGUUAAAAACAUUGUCACUUUAGAACAGUUACAAGAGUCUUUUUCCUUUUUUUUUUUUUUUUUAAAGACAGCCUUACAGCCUUUUACAUAGUCCUGGCUGCCUUGGAACUCACAGAGAUCCACCUACCGUUCUCUUCAGAGUGCUGGGAUUGAAAAUAAGCAAUACCAGCCUUACCUGUCUCUGUCUGUCUGUCUCUCUCUCUCUCUUUAAACAUCACUUAAUUGGAUAUAGUGUGCAACACAGAACAAAUGGUUGGAAGGAAAACAAAAUAGUAUAGAGACUGUUAAGUUUCCUUCCAUCAUUGAUGAGAAGGUUUGAAAGUAUGUUUAGGAUUUAGCUUGGUACUAAUGGUCAUCUGACUUGCUAGUAUAAAAAUUUUUUUUUAUAGAUUUACCAGUCUUAACUGUUUUCUGGUGAAACUUAAAGUUUGGAUGUUAAUUUUUAAACAAUUUCUUAAAAUACCAUUCAGUAUAAUUUAUAGGCCAUGCUGCCAUCAAACAUGCAGCCAUCCUCUUGUCUCAAGUUUCCUAAGUGCUAAAGUUUCACAGAAAUAGGAACUUGUCCAGCUCUUGAAAGUUUCCUUGAUGACAAUAGCAUGAUAUCUAAAUGCUGCCAUUUUAGUGGUAUACUGGCAAGCAAUAUUGUACUUGAUAGGUUGUAGACAUUGCUCUUUGUACAUAAUUACAUCUCAACGAUUCUUUGUGGUAGGUAUAUGUCCAUUUUACAGAAAAACUGAAGUACUGAGAAGUCACUUGUCACUUAAUAAAUGGAAUUUGAACAUGUAUAGACAACUUGGAACUACUCAACUCUAGUGAGGUUAUUCCUAAUAGUCUAAAUUAUAUUUUUAUUUAGGGAGGCAGGGUUUAUUUUGGCUCACAGUUUCAGGGUAUAGUUGAUUAUGCUGAGAAGUCAUAACAGCACAAGCCUGGCAGAUAAUCACAUGACAAAACAUCUGUAAUCAGAAAACAGAGAUGAAUGCUCCCUCCUCCCCCAUGCUCCCUGUGAAUUCCAAGCUGGCCUCAAACUCAAAACUUGGAUACUACUACUUUAGCCUCCUAACACCGCCACGAGUGGCUUUAUAAUCUAGAAUUUAAGUUAGCUUUUUAUUUGACCAGUUGUGAAAUUGCAAAGUUUAGCAUAUAUUCAACCUUGGGGAGAAUUUUGAGAUGGAAAGAUUAUGUUCACUGUAAGUAAUGGCAGAUUAUAUGUUUUAGAAGGUUUUGUAUUUUAAGUUUUUUUCAGAGCAAAUACAGAUUUAUUUAUAGAUAGAACUCCCAAGAGUGGGAGGGAAGACCUAGGGAUAAAUACUCAUAUUUUACUGAUUAUGUAUGUUGUAGUUUAGAGAGCCACAAAAAUUGAAUUGGCCUGUAGAUGGAUCACCAUGUUUUAUUCUUCUAUAUCUAGUGUGUCAUCAAAAGUAAAUUAAACUUGAUAGUUGAAUUUG